rnacentral:rRNA from 1 species
UACGUAGGGGGCAAGCGUUGUCCGGAAUCAUUGGGCUUAAAGAGCGCGUAGGCGGUCCGGUAAGUCCGCUCUGAAAGUCCGGGGCUCAACCCCGGGAGGCGGGCGGAUACUGUCGGGCUAGAGUCCGGAAGAGGCGAGUGGAAUUCCUGGUGUAGCGGUGAAAUGCGCAGAUAUCAGGAGGAACACCGGUGGCGAAGGCGGGUCUCUGGGACGGUACUGACGCUGAGACGCGAAAGCGUGGGGAGCAAACAGG